rnacentral:rRNA from 1 species
AGGAUUAACGCUGGCGGCGUGCCUAACACAUGCAAGUCGAACGAGGUAGCAAUACCUAGUGGCAGACGGGUGAGUAGCGCGUGGUCAACCUACCGUUGAGUGGGGGAUAACUAGCCGAAAGGUUAGCUAAUACCGCAUACGUCUCCGAGGGGCAUCCCUUGGCGAUAAAAGGAGCAAUCCGCUCUAUGACGGGACCGCGUCCCAUUAGCUAGUUGGUGGGGUAACGGCCUACCAAGGCAUCGAUGGGUAGCUGGUUUGAGAGAGCGACCAGCCACACUGGGACUGAGAUACGGCCCAGACUCCUACGGGAGGCAGCAGUGAGGAAUUUUCCGCAAUGGGCGAAAGCCUGACGGAGCGACGCCGCGUGUGGGAAGAAGGCCUUCGGGUCGUAAACCACUGUCGAAGGGGAAGAUAAUGACGGUACCCUUGGAGGAAGCCCGGCUAACUACGCGCCAGCAGCCGC